AAAAUACUUGUCAUCAUGUAAUGCUUAUUAUCCGAGAAAACCUGUCGGCUCUUCAGGAAGACCUGCAUUAAAGCAUUGUCCUCUGUUUUGGUAAUGUGAAGCUUCUUCAUAUACAACUCAAAUUUCUCAUUUAUAAUCUCUCAAUAGAAGCGCAUUUACUUGUUGUAUUCUGAUGAGCUACCCACUUGUUCAAGAAACAGCUUCCCAUUUCCCAAAACCCUCACUAAACCCACAAACACAAAACAUCCACAAUUUCGAGCUCAAAUUCAGAGCCAUAUGCAACAAUCUCUUAUCCCUAACCCAAUCUAGUUCCUUACCCAAAGGUCUCUCUUUACACGCUCACAUAAUCAAAUCAGGCAUUCAAAUAAUCCCACUUGUUUCCCACCACUUAAUCAACUUCUACUCAAAACUCCAACUCCCACUUCAUUCCACACAAGUCUUCCAUGAAACACCUUUCAAGUCUUCAACUACUUGGAGUUCACUUAUCUCUUCACUUGCCCAAAACGAACAACCCGUUCUUGCUUUAAGUUAUUUUCGCGAAAUGUUGCGUAAUGGGGUUAGGCCUGAUGAUCAUAUUUUCCCUUGUGCAACCAAAGCGUGUGGGAUUCUUGGUGAUUAUCGUAUCGGGCAAUCCAUUCAUGGGUUUGCUUUGAAAAUUGGGUUUGAGUUUGAUGUGUUUGUAGGGAGUUCUUUGGUGGAUAUGUAUGCGAAAUGUGGGAGGAUUGAGAUUGCUCGUGAAGUGUUUGAUGAAAUGCCUGACAGAAAUGUGGUUACUUGGAGUGGAAUGAUAUACGGCUAUGCUCAAAUGGGUGAGGAUGAGGAAGCUUUGAGGCUUUUUAAACUUGCUUUAAGUGAAGGUUUGGAUGUAAAUGACUUUACCUUUUCGAGUGUGAUUCGUGUGUGUGGGAAUUCCACGUUACUUGAAUUAGGGAAGCAGAUACACGGCUUGUGCUUGAAAACUAGCUAUGAUUCAUCGAGUUUUAUUGGGAGUGCGUUGGUAUCUUUGUACUCCAAGUGUGGUCUUGUUGAAGGUGCUUAUCGUGUUUUUGAUGAGGUUCCGGUUGGGAAUUUAGGGAUGUGGAACGCGAUGUUGAUCGCUUGUGCUCAGCACGGGCACACAAAAAAGGUAUUUGGGUUGUUUAAGGAAAUGGAGAGUGUUGGAAUGAAGCCGAAUUUCAUUACCUUUUUAUGUGUGCUAUAUGCUUGUAGCCAUGCUGGGCUGGUUCCAGAAGGGAAAUUUUACUUUGAUUUAAUGAAGAAGCAUGGAGUUGAGCCUGGAGAUCAACAUUAUGCUUCCCUUGUCGACUGUCUUGGCCGAGCUGGAAAAUUACAAGAGGCGGUUCAAGUUAUUGAGAGGAUGCCAAUGCAACCGACAGAAUCUGUUUGGGGAGCUUUGUUGACUGGCUGUAGAAUCCACAAGAACACUGAAUUGGCAGCUUAUGUGGCCGACAGGGUCUUUGAGUUAGGUCCUGUUAGCUCAGGUGUACACGUUCUACUGUCCAACGCAUAUGCUGCUGCUGGUAGAUAUCAAGAGGCUGCCAAAGCUAGAAAAGUGCUUAGAGACAGAGGUGUGAAAAAGGAAACUGGUUUGAGUUGGGUUGAGGAAGGAAAUAAACUACACACAUUUGCUGCUGGAGAUAGGUGUCACUCAAAGUCUAAGGAGAUAUAUGAAAAGUUGGAUGAAUUAGGUGAUUACAUGGAGCAAGCUGGGUAUGUUGCAGACACAAAUUAUGUGUUGCAACAGGUUGCUGGCCAUGAAAAGAGUGAGACUAUCAGGUAUCACAGCGAAAGGUUAGCCAUUGCUUUUGCGCUUGUCACCUUUCCACCCGAAAGGCCUAUUAGAGUUAUGAAAAACUUGCGUGUAUGUGGCGAUUGUCACAAUGCAAUAAAGAUUAUUUCGAAGUGCACCCAAAGAGUAAUUAUAGUGAGGGAUAACAAUCGAUUUCAUCGCUUUGAGGAUGGGAAAUGCUCGUGUGGCGACUAUUGGUGACUGAACUUCUGCCAUGCAUGUACCGCUGUAAGGAUCUAGUAAAAUUGCUGGUCUCAUGAGGAGUUUUAAAGCAUAACCGACCAAUGUUCGAUGAGCCUUAGCGGAGAGGUUGGGAUCACAUCCAUGAAUGCCUUUCAGGUGGGCUUGCAGGUUUAGCGAGCAACUCCUCUGCUUGCUGAUGGAUUUGCUGUUGCCGUCCAAGUAGGAUCACACAUUCUCCCCCCCCCCCCCCCCCCCCCCCCCCGCGAUUAAUCUAGGUUGUGUCUGCAUGAUUAUUUUGUGGCUUAAGGACACUUGGAAAAUGGGUCACUUGUCAAUUGAUUAUGAUGUUUUUGACACGGAGAUCUCUUUUUCUACUUUAGAAAUGAAACUUCAAUGGGCUAGGGUGGCCUCAUUUCGCUUUACCAACCCCAAGGGAACUCCAAAUACAGGCCUAGAUCAUUUGUACAGACAGAUUUUUUGGGUGCUAAGAUCCAAAGUCUAUGUCCCGCCGCCCUCGCCCCUAUCUCUAAAGCCACUAACUUCGGUACCCGGGGCAUUUCCCUCACAUGCUGAAGCAAGAAAGCCCAACCAAAGAAUCUAAUAGAGACAUUACUAUUAAUAUUCUGACAAAAAAAAUUAGACAUUCCAUGCCCUCGAAGAAUGCUUUUACCUAAUUUUGUAUAGCUGAAAGUUGCCAAAUCGGUUGAAAGAAUUGAAAGGAAUGCUGGAAAAAUUAGUUCAUGCCACAACAAUCUAUAUGGAGGGGCAAUUUUGUUGAUGCAUUCCUCUUGAGAAUGAAGAAGAACAGAGAUCUUCUUUUUCACAGGAAAUUUACAUUUUUUAUCAUGAGUCAAAUCAAUUAUUAUGCAUUAUUCUUUCUUCCUUGACAUCUAAGGAAAUGAUAAGUCAGUUCUUUGGUAUC